GCCAGGGAGCAAGGGCGUUAAGGGACUGAGAAGCACCCUUCGAACCUGAUCCGGGUCAUGCCGGCGUUAGGGACGGAACGUUCUGUUUGCG
rnacentral:ncRNA from 1 species